rnacentral:rRNA from 1 species
GAUGAACGCUGGCGGCGUGCCUAAUACAUGCAAGUCGAGCGAAUGGAUUAAGAGCUUGCUCUUAUGAAGUUAGCGGCGGACGGGUGAGUAACACGUGGGUAACCUGCCCAUAAGACUGGGAUAACUCCGGGAAACCGGGGCUAAUACCGGAUAACAUUUUGAACCGCAUGGUUCGAAAUUGAAAGGCGGCUUCGGCUGUCACUUAUGGAUGGACCCGCGUCGCAUUAGCUAGUUGGUGAGGUAACGGCUCACCAAGGCAACGAUGCGUAGCCGACCUGAGAGGGUGAUCGGCCACACUGGGACGGAGACACGGCCCAGACUCCUACGGGAGGCAGCAGUAGGGAAUCUUCCGGAAUGGACGAAAGUCUGACGGAGCAACGCCGCGUGAGUGGCGAAGGCUUUCGGGUCGUAAAACUCUGUUGUUAGGGAAGAACAAGUGCUAGUUGAAUAAGCUGGCACCUUGACGGUACCUAACCAGAAAGCCACGGCUAACUACGUGCCAGCCGCCGCGGUAA